CCACUGCAGGUAGCUUUCCUGUUAAUCACAUCCCCUCUGUCCACCGCUGACCGACUGUCCAAUCCUCAUUAAUGCCAUGUAAGAUAUCAGUCAGCCAUAUCUUUGUCAUCAUCACCGGUCAAAGAUGUAGAUAUUUAAACAUCUGAUGGGUCGGUUCAAUAAUUCAGCCCAAGACUUUGUAAGACCCAAUCAAGAUAAUCCAAUGAAUUAGUCUAAUAACAAGGCCCAAUAAUAAUGACCCAAGAGAAUAACCAAAU
rnacentral:lncRNA from 1 species